rnacentral:misc_RNA from 1 species
GAAAUGCGAUACGUAAUGUGAAUUGCAGAAUCUCGUGAAUCAUCAAAUCUUUGAACGCACAUUGCACUCUAUUUUUAUAGAGUAUGCCUGUUUGAGAAUCUAUAGUAUUCAUUUUAUAUUCUAGGUAACUUUUUGUUAUUUAGAGUAUAGAGAUAUGAAGUCUCCUAUAAUUAUUUAUAGGUACUUUGAAAACUAUAGCUUUUUAUAUUAUAGAAAUGUUUGAGUUUUUAUAUAUAACUAGUAGAAAAGUAUUCGAAUGAAACCUAGUUUCUCCUUAUGCUGACUAUACUUGUUGUUGUAUAAUUAUUAGUGACUAUGAUAUAUAAAAGUUCAUAAACCAUAUAAAGUUUUAGUGUAAACUAUUACUUUGAACCAUGGUCUCAAAUCAGGUAGGAAGACC